AGAUUGAACGCUGGCGGCAUGCUUUACACAUGCAAGUCGAACGGUAACAGGCCGCAAGGUGCUGACGAGUGGCGAACGGGUGAGUAAUGCAUCGGAACGUGCCCAGUCGUGGGGGAUAACGCAGCGAAAGCUGCGCUAAUACCGCAUACGAUCUAUGGAUGAAAGCGGGGGGACCGUAAGGCCUCGCGCGAUUGGAGCGGCCGAUGUCAGAUUAGGUAGUUGGUGGGGUUAAAGGCUCACCAAGCCGACGAUCUGUAGCUGGUCUGAGAGGACGACCAGCCACACUGGGACUGAGACACGGCCCAGACUCCUACGGGAGGCAGCAGUGGGGAAUUUUGGACAAUGGGCGCAAGCCUGAUCCAGCAAUGCCGCGUGCAGGAAGAAGGCCUUCGGUUGUAACUGCUUUGUACGGUAACGAAACGGCUCUGGUUAAUACCUGGAGUUGAUGACGGUACCGUAAGAAUAAGCGACCGGCUAACUACGUGCCAGCA
rnacentral:rRNA from 1 species